AUGGCUAUAACACGUUGAAACACCGGUUUCCGUACGCUCACCGAAGUUAAGCAACGUUGAGUACUGGUCAGUUACUAGGAUGGGUGACCGCUUGAGAAUACCAGCUGUUGUAAU